rnacentral:rRNA from 1 species
CCUACGGGUGGCAGCAGUGGGGAAUAUUGCACAAUGGGGGAAACCCUGAUGCAGCGACGCCGCGUGUGUGAAGAAGUCAUUCGUUAUGUAAAGCUCUAUCAGCAGGGACGAAACUGACGGUACCUGAGUCAGAAGCCCCGGCUAACUACUUGCCAGCAGCCGCGGUAAUACGUAGGGGGCAAGCGUUCUCCGGAUGUACUGGGUGUAAAGGGAGCGUAGACGGCAGUGCAAGUCUGGGGUGAAAGGCGGGGGCUCAACCCGCGGACUGAGUGGGAGACUGGACGGCUGGAGUGCAGGAGAGGUAAGUGGAAUUCCUAGUGUAGCGGUGAAAUGCGUAGAUAUUAGGAGGAACACCAGUGGCGAAGGCGGCUUACUGGACUGUAACUGACGUUGAGGCUCGAAAGCGUGGGGAGCAAACAGGAUUAGAUACCCUGGUAGUC